GUUUUGUAACCGGCUCACAUGUACAUGUACCGAUGACCAUUCGACGAAGGAAUACGCGAACGGUAAACACUAAACUGAGGGGUACAUUUUGACCACCUGUUUAAAUUUCCAUGAACGGGUUGGUAGGUGAGAGGAAUGUGGACGAGACAACUGGCGCGACACACAUUGGGUCAGUUCCACAAGGGCAGACAACUGGUGCUACACACAGUGGGUCAGUUCUACAAGGGCAGACAACUCAUAGUUGUACUGACGUCAUUCGUCAGUGAGGCAGCAGUCCUCAGGUCAUCUGCGGAGCCGGAGGCCUGCAUUAUAGCACAUCGGUGCUAGACCGUUCUCAGCACAUCGGUGCUAGACCCUUCUGCGGUUGGGUAUAUAUCCAUGAUUAGCGGACGUGGACUAUAUGGUGAAGCGGAUAACAAGUUUGUGAGACUUGUUUAGUCCAUCGGAUCCUUUCCAUAUUGUAUUGGGUAUUGCCCACAUGGACAGUGGAACUAUUGGUAUACAAGCGGCAACUGUGACUCCACCAACCGGAGUAAUGACAUUUAGUGUUGAAUGUAUGAAUGUGUGUUUGUGAGUGUGAGUACAUACUUAUGGGGGUUUUCUUCAAUAAUUAUUGUAAAUAAACUUGUAGAUAUUGUAUAACAAAUCGUUCUGUAUUCUCUCAGCUACCGACCGGUCGUCCAACG